UACGAAGGGGGCUAGCGUUGCUCGGAAUUACUGGGCGUAAAGGGCGCGUAGGCGGAUAGUUUAGUCAGAGGUAAAAGCCCAGGGCUCAACCUUGGAACUGCCUUUGAUACUGGCUAUCUUGAGUUCGGGAGAGGUGAGUGGAAUGCCGAGUGUAGAGGUGAAAUUCGUAGAUAUUCGGCGGAACACCAGUGGCGAAGGCGACUCACUGGCCCGAUACUGACGCUGAGGCGCGAAAGCGUGGGGAGCAAACAGGG
rnacentral:rRNA from 1 species